rnacentral:rRNA from 1 species
UACGUAGGGUGCGAGCGUUGUCCGGAAUUACUGGGCGUAAAGAGUUCGUAGGCGGUUUGUCGCGUCGUUUGUGAAAACCCGGAGCUCAACCCCGGGCCUGCAGCCGAUACGGGCAAGCUAGAAUUCGGUAGGGGAGACUGGAAUUCCUGGUGUGAGCGGUGAAAUGACGCAGAUAUCAGGAGGAACACCGGUGGCGAAGGCGGGUCUCGUGGGCCGAUAUUGACGCUGGAGGAGCGAAAGCGUGGGGAGCGAACAGG